GAUGAACGCUCGCUACAGGCUUAACACAUGCAAGUCGAGGGGAAACGAUGAGAGAGCUUGCUCUCUUAGGCGUCGACCGGCGCACGGGUGAGUAACGCGUAUCCAACCUACCCAUUACAGGGGGAUAACCUUGCGAAAGUAAGACUAAUACCCCAUGGCAUUUUAUGGUGGCAUCAUUAUAGGAUUAAAGAUUUAUUGGUAAUGGAUGGGGAUGCGUCUGAUUAGCUUGUUGGCGGGGUAACGGCCCACCAAGGCAACGAUCAGUAGGGGUUCUGAGAGGAAGGUCCCCCACAUUGGAACUGAGACACGGUCCAAACUCCUACGGGAGGCAGCAGUGAGGAAUAUUGGUCAAUGGGCGAGAGCUUGAACCAGCCAAGUAGCGUGCAGGAGGACGGCCCUAUGGGUUGUAAACUGCUUUUAUAGGGGAAUAAAGUGAGCUACGUGUAGUUUAUUGCAUGUACCCUAUGAAUAAGGACCGGCUAAUUCCGUG
rnacentral:rRNA from 1 species